rnacentral:lncRNA from 1 species
GAUCUUAGAAUGAAGGUUACCCCCACACCACAGCCACCAAUCCAACGCCGAGCAGACAUGAGGAGGAGGAGGAACAGGAGACCCAGGGAAGGAAAGCAGACCACAAUAAAUCACUGUACAAGUCAUCCCCAGAAUACAUCGAUUGGGAAAACGGGAAAAUCAUCAGAUCAUGAGGCGUUUUUUCCCGUUACCGAGGCCACUGUGGUCCCUGAACAACCUAGGAGGGGAGAGUCCUAGUGAAGGGAAUUCCACAACAUGAAAAGAACAUCACAAUGAAAAUUCUCCCUAUAUCUGUACAAGUCUCCCUCAGAACAUCGAUUGGAACAACUGACAAAUCUUCGACAUAACAUCAGACGUGCAGAGGCAUCUUUUGGCAACUUUCAAUGGAACCCUCCUUCAAGGGACAGCUCCAAAAACAUCGUGAGUGAUUUUU